rnacentral:tRNA from 1 species
GUUAAUAUAGCUUAAUUAAAAAGCAAAGCACUGAAAAUGCUUAGACGGUCUUCAGACCUAUUGAC